AAGGGACCCAUCCAAGAAUAAGAUGGUGUCCAGUGGGGCAGAGCUGGCUGUGUCCUCUGAGAACGCAAGGAAGCACGAGCACGAGAAAAAUGCCUGGGCUCAGAUCCCAGUGAACUCGUCUGCUUCUCCUUGAACGUUUUGCAAUAUCAUCUAUGCUGGAAAUGAUCAUUUAAAGCCACAGUCUAGCAUAAUGUUUACAUCCCGAGGGUUGGAACUGGAGUCAUUAAGUCUUUCAAACAACAAGGACUUUCUCCAGAAUACCUACUUGAUAAAGCUUCUUGACUGACUGUGCUUAUUUGUAAUCUCUGCUCACAACUGGGUCCUUGACAAAACCUACUAUAAACUUCUCCACUAUCAAUUAUACAUAAAAAAUGUGGGUGAAAUGAUGGAGAAGAAUUCAACAAAUAGCAUUGCUCAUAAUGGAGAGAAGAUUCUACCUUCUACAAUAUGUAAUUUGAUGAAAUAUGCUAAGCAAGGUUGGGAGAAAAUGGAACCAUUAUUUGUUGUCUGAGCUCCUGGAUCACCCGCUACCACUUGCUUAUCUCUACUGGGCUCAAGCUUUUCCUGUGGCAUGCCCCCUGUUCAUCUACCUCUCUGCCUCCCCCAUGGUUUGCUGGAUGCUCCCGGUGAGCCUGGUAUCCCGAAGGAUGUUCGUAUCCGCUGUGGUUGGGUGCUCUCAGCUUUCUGCUUGGCCUUGGGCAAAGCCACGGUACACUCCAACUCCUCAGCUCUGGCCCCAAUGCCUUGAGCUUGAAUACAAAUAACCUUGGAGUGGGAAGCUUUUCUACUCAACUACAGACAUAGCUGAAGAGAUUUUGCUUUAGUGAAAUGAAGUGGAGCCUGAAUUUAUCUGGAAAUGUGUGGAAUCAGCAGAGAGCAGUAAACACAAGUCUAGGGAAGUGGGAAACCAUUGUGAACGAUUUCGUGUUUUUCACUCCCAGCGGGCAUUUGGGCAUUAUUGUAAAGAACCAUGUUUUCAAACCUGCCAAUAACAGAACAGAUCUUUAUUCAUUGUGGAUGAGGCUUCCACUGGGAGAGUUGAAGCUCUCGUUCCUUUUUCGCCAACUAGAGAAGCUCUUCAGAGUUCCAAGCUUCUGUUUUCUGACUCCCAUGCCAUAAAGGGAGAUGUUAG